rnacentral:rRNA from 1 species
UAGGGCGCGACCCUUGUCCGGAAUUAUUGGGCUUAAAGAGCUCGUAGGCGGCUGGUCGCGUCUACCGUGAAAGCCCGCGGCUUAACCGUGGGUCUGCGGUGGAUACGGGCCGGCUAGAGGCAGGCAGGGGCAAGUGGAAUUCCUGGUGUAGCGGUGAAAUGCGCAGAUAUCAGGAGGAACACCGGUGGCGAAGGCGGCUUGCUGGGCCUGUCCUGACGCUGAGGAGCGAAAGCGUGGGGAGCGAACAGGAUUAGAUACCCUGGUAGUCCACGCCGUAAACGUUGGGCGCUAGGUGUGGGGUCUUCCACGGGUUCCGUGCCGUAGCUAACGCAUUAAGCGCCCCGCCUGGGGAGUACGGCCGCAAGG